rnacentral:rRNA from 1 species
ACCAAAAACACAGCUAACAAACAAUACAAAACCACACAAUAACUUAAACCAAAACAUUUACUCUGGUUAGUAGAUGAGAUCAAACGCCAUCAAUUAAGCCUCACAUGUACCGCAAGGGAAUAGUGAAAGAACAAUGAAAAACUAUAAGUACAAAACAGCAAAGAUAAACCCCUGUACCUCUUGCAUCAUGGUUUAGCAAAACCCUUUCAGACAAAGAGAACCUUUAGCCUGCCCCCCCGAAACCAAGCGAGCUAUUUUUAGGCAGUAAUAAACAAGAACGUACCCGUCCCUGUAGCAAAAGAGUGGGAAGACCUGAAAAUAGGGGCAAAAAGCCAACCGAGCUUGGUGAUAGCUGGUUACUCAACAAAGAAUAUUAGUUCAACUUUAGGAAUACACAAGCACAUCUUAUUAAUCUUUUUCCCUUAAACCUAAAGAAAAUCAAUGGGGGUACAGCCCCAUUGAACCGGAAUACAGCCCGAACUGAGAGAUUUUUUUCCCUAAUUUUUAGUAGGCUUCAAAGCAGCCAACAAAAGACCGCGUUAUAGCACCACCUUAAAUAAUUUUAACUGUUUCUUUCACCUCCUGACACACCACGAGUUAUUCUAUACUUUUAUAGAAAUACUAAUGCUAAAAUUAGUAAUAAGAAACACUUAUUUCUCUUCGCACCCCUUUAAGUCAGAAUAGAAAAACUACUGAUAAUUAACAAACAAAAUAUAGACCUUCAUUUUUCCUAGCUUAAAUGUCACACCACCUUGUUAACCCGACACAGGCGUGCAAAAAAGAAAGGUCAAAAGCCAUAAAAGGAACUCGGCAACAACUAGUCCCAACUGUUUACCAAAAACAUAGCCUUUAGCCCAACAAGUAUUAAAGGUACCGCCUGCCCAGUGACUCUUUAAACGGCCGCGGUAUCCUAACCGUGCAAAGGUAGCAUAAUCACUUGUCCCCUAAAUAGGGACUAGAAUGAAUGGCUAAAUGAGGACUAAACUGUCUCUUAUAGGCUGACCAAUGAAAUUGAUUUUCCAGUACAAAAGCUGGAAUAAACACAUAAGACGAGAAGACCCUGUGGAGCUUCAAAACCAAAAGCACCAAAUAUGCUUCCUUGAAUUUUUAGUUGGGGCGACUUCGGAGCACAAAAAAACCUCCGAAACAUGGCAAUUAACCUAAUCAAGAUUAACACAUCAAAACAAACACAUGAGACCCAGCAGCCACCAAAUCAACGCUGUCUGACCAAUGAACCAAGUUACCCCAGGGAUAACAGCGCCAUCCCCUUCUAGAGUCCCUAUCGACAAGGGGGUUUACGACCUCGAUGUUGGAUCAGGACACCCCAAUGGUGCAGCCGCCUUUAAAGGUUCGUUUGUUCAACGAUUAAAGUCCUACGUGAUCUGAGUUCAGACCGGAGAAAUCCAGGUCGGUUUCUAUCUAUGUGGCCCUAUCCUCAGUACGAAAGGACCAAGAUAGCAGGACCAAUACAAAAGAACGUCCUAACUAAAAUUUUUGACCACCACUAAAAAAACAAAUGUGCCCCCCCCCCGGCCCAAAAUCAGGGUUU